rnacentral:rRNA from 1 species
GACGAACGCUGGCGGCGUGCUUAACACAUGCAAGUCGAACGGACAGGCCCUGCUUUUGUGGGGUGCUCGAGUGGCGAACGGGUGAGUAACACGUGAGUAACCUGCCCUUGACUUUGGGAUAACUUCAGGAAACUGGGGCUAAUACCGGAUAGGAGCUCCUGCUGCAUGGUGGGGGUUGGAAAGUUUCGGCGGUGGGGGAUGGACUCGCGGCUUAUCAGCUUGUUGGUGGGGUAGUGGCUUACCAAGGCUUUGACGGGUAGCCGGCCUGAGAGGGUGACCGGCGACAUUGGGACUGAGAUACGGCCCAGACUGCUACGGGAGGCAGCAGUGGGGAAUAUUGCACAAUGGGCGGAAGCCUGAUGCAGCAACGCCGCGUGCGGGAUGACGGGCUUCGGGUUGUAAACCGCUUUCGCCUGUGACGAAGCGUGAGUGACGGUAAUGGGUAAAGAAGCACCGGCUAACUACGUG